rnacentral:rRNA from 1 species
GGACCCGACUGCUAUCAAAGUGGGACUAAGCCAUGCGAGUCAACAUAGCAAUAUGUGGCAUACGGCUCAGUAACACGUAGUCAACAUGCCCAGGGGACGUGGAUAACCUCGGGAAACUGAGGAUAAACCGCGAUAGGUCAUCACUUCUGGAAUGGGUAAUGACUUAAAUCUAUAUGGCCCCUGGAUUGGACUGCGGCCGAUCAGGCUGUUGGUGAGGUAAUGGCCCACCAAACCUGUAACCGGUACGGGCUCUGAAAGGAGGAGCCCGGAGAUGGGCACUGAAACAAGGGCCCAGGCCCUAUGGGGCGCAGCAGGCGCGAAACCUCUGCAAUAGGCGAAAGCUUGACAGGGUUACUCUGAGUGAUUUCCGUUAAGGAGAUCUUUUGGCACCUCUAAAAAUGGUGCAAAAUAAGGGGUGGGCAAGUCUGGUGU